CCAUAGAGCAUUCACUGCUUUGCAGCUGGUAAGCUCUUCACAUCUGGCAAGUCAAGUCAGCCUAGAAACACCAAAGAGGACUGAAAGUUUGGUCGCAGUCCAUUGUUUACCGCCCACCCCUGGUGGCCUUGAUACCGAUUCUGUGUACCGGCCACUGAGACGAAAACCGCCGCUUUCAGGGAUUCUCACGAAUGAGAAUCUCCUUUAUCAAGAAUGUUAAGUGUGAGCUGGUGUAGCAUAUUGGAUAAGAAAGUGAGCUAUGUUAAUGGAGAAGUCCCCAGUUCAAAUCCCACCUCUGCCAUGAACUCGCUAGGUAGCCUUAGGCAAAGUUGUUCUCUCUGAGCCUCAGUGUUUCCCCUCCCCAUCUGCAAUAUGGGCAGAUAACACUACUGACUAAGCACAUCGCGUGAAUUAUCUCAUUGCAAUUCUUACAGCAGCCCUCUAAGGCAAGAACUACAAUGAGAUAAUUCACAUGAUAUGCUUAGAGCAUCUGAAAGCUCUAUACAAAUUCUAUUUAUCAUUAUUUUGUCCCCCAAAUCUUCAGAAGUGUACCCAAGCUAGAAAACAGAAUUACAUUUUUUUUAAAGAAAUCAAAUUUUGCAGGAGGCUCUUUAAAAAAGCUUCCCCCCCACCCUGGCUUUUCUGCGGUUUCUUUUAUCCUUAACGCUUAAGGGUCCUAGUGACAAUCUUAACAUGCAGCCCUCUGUUUACUCAGAAGUAAAUCCCACAGCCUUAAAGUGAUAUUUCCUUGCCUCUUCUUUAGAGGCAAUCCAUAGGGUUAAGUUAAAUUAAUUUUCUCCAAUCAGACAAAAUUUGGUCCUUGAGAAAGACAACUUUUCAAAGGCUGAACUUCUUACAGGCUGAUUUGCGUCCUCCCUCCACCCCCAGGGAUUGGACUUUUUCAGCCCCAUCCAGCAGGGCAAAGGAUUGUGGGAGUUGUAGUCCAACAGCAUUAGGCAGGCCAUGGCUACAAUGACCCUUGCCUUACAGAUCCCCUAGGAUGGCCUCCCACACAGUCUUGCUCUCCUUUGCUUCCUUCCUUAUCUCCUUGUGCAACCCCUGUCCUACCCCUGCCUGCACUUUCUGCAACUUCCACAAGGGAUGGUUCUGGUCUUAUCAGGCAAGAACACAGCUGGAACUUCCCCAUCAUCUGUAUCGCAUACAGCAUGCGCACAUACAACCGGCUUUCCAAAACAUCCUUCCCUUACAACUUGGCUUGCCUCACUGAUGUCUAGCUUGAGGAAUAAUGAUGUAGUAUCAACCCCACGGGACAAUUCCUUGUCUCCCACACUCCUAUGAAGAAACAGGGUACAUGGAGACUCUAUGAAUGGUUGCAGUAGACCUGUUUCUGGUGCUUCUCAAUCUCCCCUGACUAGUGACAGUUAUCUGAUGAAAAGUGGCCAUUGUGUGAAAUGGGCCAUGUAUUGCUUCCAGCCAGCCAAUAAACAACAUACUGAGAA